GACGAGGGCGCGAGCGUUGUCCGGAUUUAUUGGGCGUAAAGAGCUCGUAGGCGGCUUGUCGCGUCGGCUGUGAAAACUCGAGGCUCAACCUCGAGACGCCGGUGGAAACCGUAAAGCUAGAGUCCGGAAGAGGAGAGUGGAAUUCCUGGUGUAGCGGUGAAAUGCGCAGAUAUCAGGAGGAACACCCGUGGCGAAAGCGGCUCUCUGGGACGGUACUGACGCUGAGACGCGAAAGCGUGGGGAGCAAACAGG
rnacentral:rRNA from 1 species